GUAUACAAUGUCAAUAUAUGCCCCACCCAGCCAGGGUGUAUUUAUAACAUCGUAUCCGGCUUUACUGAAUUUACAUUAAAAUACAGGUUGUAGUGAGAAGGUUUAGUAUUGUGACACCAUCGAAAGACCAACACAGUAUUGAGUCAUCGAACCAAUACACGGUACAAUGUUUUUAUCAGGCUGUGGGACGGAGAAGUGUAUUUCGAUUUAUCUGAUCGUGACAGGUAGUUUCGGAAUUCUUGCUUCCCUGUUCUGCAUUGUUGCAAGAUUGUACAGAACUACCGGACUGAGUGAUAGAAAAGAGUUACUGCGUUUUAUUCCAACCAUUUUGAUUACUGUUACAACGUUGACGAUGCUUAUUACCGGUUGUGUGUGGAAAUAUCAGAUGUAUGACGUAGCCAACAUUUCUUAUCUAGGUCGUAGUAAGCAAGCUUUCUGGAUUCUAAACGGGAUUUACUUUCUAUCGGGAGUGGCCAGUUUUUGUUCUGACUUUUGUUGUCGCGAAUCUUAGCUUUUUACCCUUUCACGCAACAUUUCACCACUGUGUAUCGCUACAUUGUGUUUCGCUACAUUUCAUCAUUGUGUAUUGCCACAUUGCAUCAUUGUGUAUCGCUACAUUUCAUCAUUGUGUAUCGCUACAUUCCAUGAGUUCCAAUUGCCCUGAGGCAUUAUGGAAGGUUAGAUAAAGAGCUGGCAGGUUUCACUAUAAUAGUUAAAAACUAGAUCAUGUAAUUAGCCCCUUACAUUCAGAUGCACGAUCUGCGACAAUAUCAAAACUCACACAACUUUAUCAAAUUUCUCAAAAUAAAUUCUGAAGAUGUUUUUUUCUGUAGUUUAUAACUUCCUCGACAUCUUCCAAAGAUUUUAAAAAUUCUGUAUGAAAAUGUAUGAAAUAUAAAUUUUCUGAUUGUGGUUUGUACAUAUUGUGUAUAUAGUGUGUAUAUUGUUAUUUAGCCAUCUUAUAAUUGAAUUGUUCUUCUACUUACUUUUCUUCUUUUUAUUUAUCUUUUUUGCAUCUU